rnacentral:lncRNA from 10 species
AUUCAAAGCUCGCAAUGCACCGUUCUGAAAACUCUCCAGCGUAGAAUUCAGGAACCCUGAGUUUUCUAUCUCUGUCUAGUUCUGGACUGAAUGGGCUCAAGUCAUCUAGUUAACCUCUCUGGAUUUCAGUCUUCUGAAAAGUGAAGCUAAGAGAUCUAGCAUUCUGCAGAAAAGUACUGGAGAUGACUCAGGACUGAAAAUGAUCAUGAAGCCCCUUUGCAAAUAUCAAAGUGGUGAUGAAGCAGUCAUGAACUUUGACCAGAAGCCGUGUUUUGUGGGAUUGCCACUUUAAUCGCUCCUGUUCAUCAUUAGGACUGCAGCCAGAGUGUGGAAGGAGUUCAUUUUCAGGCUGCUGACAAAGA